GGGGAUUUAGCUCAGUGGUAGAGCGCUUGCCUAGUAAGCACAAGGCCCUGGGUUCAGUCCCCA
rnacentral:tRNA from 1 species